rnacentral:rRNA from 1 species
UACAGAGGGUGCAAGCGUUGUUCGGAAUCAUUGGGCGUAAAGGGCGUGUAGGCGGUUUGUUAAGUCAUGUGUGAAAUCCCUCGGCUCAACCGGGGAACGACGCUUGAAACUGGCAAGCUAGAGUACCAAAGAGGGCGGUGGAAUUCCCGGUGUAGCGGUGAAAUGCGUAGACAUCGGGAGGAACACCUGUGGCGAAGGCGGCCGCCUGGUUGGAUACUGACGCUGAGACGCGAAAGCGUGGGGAGCAAACAGG